rnacentral:rRNA from 1 species
UACGGGGGGUCCGAACGUUGUCCGGAAUCACUGGGCGUAAAGAGCAUGUAGGUGGCUUGGUAAGUGUACGAUUAAAGGCCGACGCCUAACGUCGGGAGUGUUGUACAUACUGCCUGGCUUGAGUCUAUCAGGGGCAAGCGGAACUUUGGGUGUAGGGGUGAAAUCCGUAGAUAUCCAAAGGAACACCAAUGGCGAAGGCAGCUUGCUAGGGUAGUUCUGACACUGAGAUGCGAAAGCGUGGGGAGCGAACGGG